UAAAUAAAAGUAGUGCGAGUGCGAGGAAAUAAAUAAAAGUAAAGCGAGUGCGAGAAAUAAAUGAAAGUAAAGCGAGUGCGAGGAAAUAAAUAAAAGUAAAGCGAGUGCGAGGAAAUAAAUAAAAGUAAAGCGAGUGCGAGGAAAUAAAUAAAAUAAAGCGAGUGCGGGAAAAUAAAUAAGAUAAAGACAAGUAAUAAAAACCUGCUCCAAUCGGAGGGUUGAAU
rnacentral:lncRNA from 1 species